GCUACUAGAAGGGGAGGAGUCCAUGGAAGGGGAGGAGAAGAGAAGCGGCUAAGAAAGUCCCGCGGCUUCAGCUGAGGAGUCGGGGAAGUCCCGGCGGCUGCUUCUUGCUUUGCUCUGCUUCCUUCCUUCCUUCCUUCCUUCCUUCUUGGCCCGACCCACUCGCGACCUGCGUGGGUUUACUGGCGAGGGUGGGCUUUCCUCUUCUCUUCUUCCUCCCUCCUUGGCAAAGAGACGGAAGCGGCAUGAAAGAGAAAGCGGAGAGGAUGAGCUGGCGAGGCGGGCGCGGGUGGGGCCGCCGGGCGGAACUCCCUUCCUAGGAGCCCACGCCAGGCCAGGAAGGAGCCGAGGCUUCGGGAGAAAGAAGAAGAGGAAGAGGAGGAAGAAGGUGUUUCCAGCCUCCGGGGGUUUCAGGAGUCUGGGGAUCCGAUGGCCGGGGAGCUGCCGGUGGACCUGACGUGGAGGAAAAGCGGCGAAGGAGACGAGGAGGAGAGACGCGCCCCCAAAGCCCAGACCUGCCUGCCCCUCCGGAAGCGGCGCUACGCCCAAGGGGAGCCCGAGGGGGAGGCACGGGGCCCCCCGGCCGGGCAGGUGCCCAAGAGGGAGGAGGGCCACGGAGGGCGCUGGGCCCACGGCACCCACGGGCUCCACGGACCCUUCCUGACCCUCGGAUACCCGCGCCUGCCCCACGCCUACUACCCCGGUUUGGCUGGCUCCUUCCUGGGUCCGGAGCUGACCCCCAUUUUGCACCCAGUGACCCCUCCCCACCCAUUGCUGGGGGUCCCUACGCCCUACUCCUUGCUCUGCUCCACCGAGGCCCAGUUGGCGCUGGACAUCGCAACGGCCACCAAGCAAGACGAAGAUGGUGACACGUAAGAAACGGGGGACAUUACCAGGGGCGGGAUCCAUAAGGUGGCCAUAUUGGAAGUGGGAGUGUCGAAACAUUACAACCCUAUAAGUCAACCUUUGCUCGGAGUUGGCCAUAGAGUUGCACUGCAGAACCUACAAAUGCCUAGAGAAGUAACAACAACAACAAUAAUAAUAAUAAUAAACAACUUUAUUUAUAUUUCACCUUAUCUCCCCGAGGAGACAAAGGGUGGAUUCCAACAAACAAAAAAGGCAAACAUUCAAUGCCUCAGUACAACAACAAACAUAGUAAAGGUGAAGGCUUUCCUCUGACCUUAAGUCCAGUUGUGUCUGACUUUGGGGGUUGGUGCUCAUCUCCAUUUCUGAGCCGAAGAGCCGGCAUUGUCCAUAGACUCCUCCAAGGUCAUUUGGCCAUAGGCAUGACUCCAUGGAGCACCGUUAACUUCCCGCUGGAGCGGUACAUAUUGAUCUACUCACAUUUGCAUGUUUUCAAACUGCUAGGUUGGCAGAAGCUGGGGCUAAUAGCUGGAGCUCACCCCGCUCCCUGGAUUCAAGCAGCUGACAUUUCUGUCAGCUAUUUAAGUUCAGCAGUUUAACUUUCUGCGCCACUGGGGGCUCAACAUAAUAUCCCAAAAUAACCCCACAUAUUAAAACAAUUUGUAACAUGACAUCUAUAAAUUAAAUAAAACUUAAUCUAUCAAAAAUUAUAUCUAACAUAAUACAUCCACAUUAAUUUACAGAAGCCAACAAAAGUUCACUGAGACAUGUGAGUUGAUUAUGUGGCAGUGUUGUUAACUGGGCUGACGUUAUCUGGCCAAGUCUGAUACAAAAUUAGUUUUCAGUCAGAGGUCUAGUAGCGGUCUCCCAUCAUCUAAUCCUCCUCUGCCGCACCUCAGGUUAGCCUCACCUUGCCAAAGGCACUAAGCCACACACAGGAAGUAGUCUUUUGUAGUUUAUUUAGAAAACAGGCAAAAGAUAGUUCACAAAAGGGCAAAAGUUCCGUUCCAAAAGAGAGGUACAAAACCAAGGCUGUAAGCAAUAAGUCCAUAGAAACAUAGAGCAUAAAACAAGGUUAUUUCCAUAGAAGCCAAAAGUCCCAGAAGCCAGAAUAUAUCCACGAGAUAUUACAGGAAAGCAAAACUUGGCACAGGGAAACAGACUUGCUUCUAGAUCAAAUGAUGGAAUUGGAUUAACAGAGAGCUCUCUGUUUUAAAAGCAUGACAUAAAGGUGUUCCGUUGCCCUUUGAACUCUUGUUUAUUGGCUAUGUGAAGGCUUCUCCACAACCCUCUAAAUUCCAGUCUCGUAGCCCAAUCGAGAUCCCCAGAAUCAAGGCCACUGAGCUCAUUAUCAGGUGGCAAAGCGCUAUCCUCCCUUUCCACUCCCUGCACUUGAAAUUCCUCAUUAGAAACAGCAUCAUGAUUUAUUCCCAUGGGAACAACUCCCUGCUCCUAUAAUUCCCAGAAUCAGAGUCAUUCUCAAAUUCAUCCUGAAUCCCAUCAUUAUGCACAUACAACCCAGAAUCUUCAUCAGAGGCAUGCAAAGGCACUUCAGAAUCAC
rnacentral:lncRNA from 11 species